rnacentral:misc_RNA from 1 species
UAAGCGAAUAUUUGGCAGCAUCCGCCAUUAUUUGCAAAAACUGUUUCAGUCUGGGCUGGGAGCCUACGUAGACUACUGGCAAGGAGCACAAGAUUGCAUCGUAAGAUGCGACUGCACGUGCUAUUUCAAAGUGGCUCCUGAAGUCGAUAUCGAUGAUGAACCGCUCGGAGGUCAUAGUAUCGUCAUUAGCAACGACAUCAAUGUAUUCGUGAUCACCUCCAGGGACCUUGCCGUAACCCUGCCACUUGGAGGAGCAUACAGCAGCAUCGUAACCGGAAAGUCUAAGGAGCUUUACUAGAGAAUAUCGAAUACAACUGGCAUUGCAUUGCCCGUCAUGGACGACAUGAAGAUUUUUCUCAUCGAUAGAAACUAGAAGGGAAUGGACGGCUGAUAAAAGAUCACUCUCAUAUUGAUCUACAG